UGUUAGACAACAAUAUCCUUCAAUGGAA
rnacentral:sRNA from 1 species